CCUACGGGUGGCAGCAGGGAGGAAUAUUGGUCAAUGGACGAGAGUCUGAACCAGCCAAGUAGCGUGAAGGAUGACUGCCCGAUGGGUUGUAAACUUCGGUUAUAUGGGAAUAAAAUGUACCACGUGUGGGAUUUUGUAUGUACCAUAUGAAGAAGGAGCGGCUAACUCCGUGCCAGCAGCCGCGGUAAUACGGAGGAUCCGAGCGUUAUCCGGAUUUAUUGGGGUGAAAGGGAGCGUAGGUGGCUUGUUAAGUCAGUUGUGAAAGUGUGCGGCUCAACCGGAAAAUUGCAGUUGAAACUGGCAGUCUUGAGUCCAGUAGCGGUGGGCGUCAUUCGUGGUGUAGCGGU
rnacentral:rRNA from 1 species